GAUGAACGCUAGCGGCAGGCUUAAUACAUGCAAGUCGAACGGCAGCAUGCACUUCGGUGUGAUGGCGAGUGGCGCACGGGUGAGUAACGCGUACAAGAUCUACCUUCUACAGGGGGAAAGUCGCUGGAAACGGCGAAUAAUCCCGCAUAAGACUACAGGGUCGCAUGGCCUAGGAGUUAAAGGAGUGAUCUGGUAGAAGAUGAUUGUGCGUCCCAUUAGCUAGUUGGUGUGGUAACGGCAUACCAAGGCGACGAUGGGUAGGGGGCGUGAGAGCGUGAUCCCCCACACGGGUACUGAGACACGGACCCGACUCCUACGGGAGGCAGCAGUAAGGAAUAUUGGUCAAUGGAGGGAACUCUGAACCAGCCAUGCCGCGUGUACGAAGAAGGCCCUUCGGGUUGUAAAGUACUUUUAGAUGGGAAGAAUGGCAGUCAUUUAUGACUGAAGAGACGGUACCAUCAGAAUAAGCACCGGCUAACUCCG
rnacentral:rRNA from 1 species